GACGAACGCUGGCGGCGUGCUUAACACAUGCAAGUCGAGCGGAGCGGCGAACGGGUGAGUAACGCGGGAGUAACUGCCCCCCUCUCUGGGAUAACAGUUGGAAACGGCUGCUAAUACCGGCUAGUGGGGGAUGACUCGCGUCCUAUCAGCUUGUUGGUGGGGUAGUGGCCUACCAAGGCGACGACGGGUAGCCGGCCUGAGAGGGCGACCGGCCACAUUGGGCUGAGAUACUGCCCAAACUCGUACGGGAGGCAGCAGUGGGGAAUAGUGCACAAUGGGCGAACGCCUGAUGCGGCGACGCCGCGUGGGGGAUGAGGGCUUUAGGGUUGUAAACCUCUUUCGCUAUCGAAAGGGUAGGUGGAGAAGAAGCGCCGGCUAACUACGUGCCAGCAGCCGCGGUAAUAC
rnacentral:rRNA from 1 species